rnacentral:RNase_P_RNA from 1 species
GCGUUCGGGUAAUCGCUGCAUAUUCAUUAUGUAGAGGAAAGUCCAUGCUCGCACGGUCUGCGAUGACCGUAGUAUUCGCGCCUAACGAAACAAUAAGUUAGGGUAAUUCGGUUGCGACUGAAUUAACGGCUGGGAAACACCUAAGUCUUCUUGAUAUGGUGUCUACCUAUAAAAGUGCCACAGUGACGGAGUUCUCUUGGAAACAGGGGAAGUGGAACGAGGUAAACCCCGCGUGCGAGAAACCCAAAUUAUGGUAGGGGAGCUUUCUCGAAGGAAAUGAACGGAGAGAAGGUCGAAUGUUAAGAUUCGAAGAUAGAUGAUUACCACCCAAGUACAAGGUUAAUCCCGUUUGCAGUACGAGGGCACAAAACAUGGCUUAUAGAA